AGAGUUUGAUCCUGGCUCAGAUUGAACGCUGGCGGCAUGCCUUACACAUGCAAGUCGAACGGCAGCACGGGGGCAACCCUGGUGGCGAGUGGCGAACGGGUGAGUAAUAUAUCGGAACGUGCCCUGGAGUGGGGGAUAACUAGUCGAAAGAUUAGCUAAUACCGCAUACGAUCUACGGAUGAAAGUGGGGGACCCGCAAGGGCCUCAUGCUCCUGGAGCGGCCGAUAUCUGAUUAGCUAGUUGGUGAGGUAAAGGCUCACCAAGGCAUCGAUCAGUAGCUGGUCUGAGAGGACGACCAGCCACACUGGGACUGAGACACGGCCCAGACUCCUACGGGAGGCAGCAGUGGGGAUUUUGGACAUGGGCGCAAGCCUGA
rnacentral:rRNA from 1 species